UACGGAGGAUCCAAGCGUUAUCCGGAUUCAUUGGGUUUAAAGGGUGCGUAGGCGGAUUUGUAAGUCAGUGGUGAAAGCCAACAGCUCAACUGUUGAACUGCCAUUGAUACUGCAAGUCUUGAGUACAUUUGAUGUGGGCGGAAUGUGUCAUGUAGCGGUGAAAUGCUUAGAUAUGACACAGAACACCGAUUGCGAAAGGCAGCUCACAA
rnacentral:rRNA from 1 species